UUUUUUUUUUUUUUUUUUUUUUUUUUUUUUUUUUUUUUUACCGCAAA
rnacentral:ribozyme from 13 species